rnacentral:rRNA from 1 species
AUUGAACGCUGGCGGCAGGCCUAACACAUGCAAGUCGAGCGGGGUUUUCGGACCUAGCGGCGGGCGGGUGAGUAAUGCGUAGGAAGCUACCCGAUAGAGGGGGAUACCAGUUGGAAACGACUGUUAAUACCGCAUAAUGUCUACGGACCAAAGUGUGGGACCUUCGGGCCACAUGCUAUCGGAUGCGCCUACGUGGGAUUAGCUAGUUGGUGAGGUAAUGGCUCACCAAGGCGACGAUCCCUAGCUGGUUUGAGAGGAUGAUCAGCCACACUGGAACUGAGACACGGUCCAGACUCCUACGGGAGGCAGCAGUGGGGAAUAUUGGACAAUGGGCGCAAGCCUGAUUCAGCCAUGCCGCGUGUGUGAAGAAGGCCUUCGGGUUGUAAAGCACUUUCAGCGAGGAGGAAGGGGUGAGUGUUAAUAGUACUCAUCUUUGACGUUACUCGCAGAAGAAGCACCGGCUAACUCCGUGCCAGCCGCCGCGGUAAAAC